rnacentral:tRNA from 1 species
ACCAGAAUGGCUGAGUGGUUAAGGCAUUGGACUUAAGUUCCAAUAGACAAUGUGUCUGUGUGUGCUUGAUCCAGCUUCUGGUA